UGACCUGCCGGGGCUCACCGGUUCCUCCCCAGUGCCUUCCCAGUUCAUCCCAGUUUGUACCAGUCCAUCCCAGUUCGUCCCAGUUUGUCCCAGUGCUGUAUGGAGCAUCGAGAGCCUACUGGGGAAACUGAGGCAGGCCGGCUGCAUCGGACCCGCCAGUUUGUCCCAGUUCAUCCCCAUCCAUCCCAGUUUGUCCCAGUUCAUCACAGCACUGUUUGGAGCAUUGAGAGCCCGCUGGGGAAACUGAGGCAGGCCGGCCGCAUCGGACCCGCCAGUUUGUCCCAGUUCAUCCCAGUUCAUCCCAGUGCUGUAUGGAGCAUUGAGAGCAUGCUGGGGAAACUGAGGCAGGCCGGCCGCAUCUGACCCGCCAGGGCUCACCAGUUCGUCCCAGUCCCUCCCAGUCCGUCCCAGUCCAUCCCAGUUCGUCCCAGUUCAUCCCAGUCUGGCCCAGUUCCCCCCAGUGCCUUCCCCCCACCUCAAUAAAGGCGUGGCCAGUCGAUGA